UAGAAUUCUAUGAGGCUUUUUAUUACCAGCUAAUCAGUCAUGUUUCAGAGUCUCACAAAAUAAUAGAAUCAAAUAAAUUGUACUUCAUUCCUGCUAAACAAAUGUACAAGUACUUGCCCUUGGACUAAACACUAAACAUUAAUGAAAGUGUAAUGCAGGAAGCCAUAUCAUGGAUUUGCAGAAGUCUUGGAGGUGACCAAACCCACGGCAGAGCUGGCAUCUCCCCAUGGCAAAAUGUGACGUCUUUGUUCAGCCUCCACCCUGCCCUGGCUUUAAACUGA
rnacentral:lncRNA from 1 species